UUCAUCUCUCCAUAUUCUCCACUUCCUCCUCUUUCUUCUUCACUUCAUCGUAGCAGCUAGUGAAAAGAAUAGUUUCGGCAAAAGUCUCUCUCUCUCAAGUCCCAAACCUCCAAACUCAGCAAACUUUUUCUUUAAAUUGGUUGCAACGUUUACUCAAUUUCAGAUUUUCAGGUGAAAUUAGAUUUGCAAGUCAGUCUCGAUCAGAAUUGAAAAGCUGUUGUUUGAAUCUUGAAACUGCUUUGAGAAGUGGUGAGGGUUCUGAUAUUGAUGUGAAAUAUUUGCUUAUGGAGUUACAAAUUUUGCAGGAGAUGUUGUCAAAUGAGGCAUAUGAAACAGAUAGGCCUUGGACAUCCAUUUGAAUUAUGGAGCUUGCAAAGAAAAUAGAUAUGUUUCCAAGUAUUAUGGUUGCCUACAUGAUUUUAUUGACUAUACCGGUGACGGUAGCAUCCGCUGAAAGAAGUUUUUCAGAAUUAAAAUUAUUAAAAUCUUAUAUGCGGACUACAUGACUCAAGAUAGGCUGAAUGGACGAAGUGGUGUUAACACAGUGGUUAGAGCACCCACUACCUACGUACGAACUACCUAUAUACGAAGUCAUAAGUUCGAGUCACUAUGGGGGCAGGAGUGAAAUCCUUUGAUCCUCUUUUGAAAAAAAGAUUAAAAAAAAAAAAAAGAUAGGCUGAAUGGAUUAGCUAUUUUAACCAUUGAAAGAAAUAUGUUGGCAAAUGUUGACUAUGAAAAGAUAAUUGAUGAUUUUGCUUCAAGGAAUGCAAGAAGACAUCAUUUUAGACGAUUUGUAAACUUUUUUAUAAGGGGUUUUGGUUUUAUCACUUUAUGUCCCCGUUAUAUAAUGUUUCUUUAUGUAAUAGCCCAUAAAAAAAAAUAAGGAAAUGAUGGAAAAUGUCACAUUAGAGUGUGAUAUGAUAAAAAUGUCACCUAGUUUCCCACUUGAUAAAAUGGUCCAUCAUGAAUUGUCGGUAAUAUUAAUUUAGUCCUUAUUAAAAAUGAGGUGAUGUUAAAAAAGGUCACUUUUAAAUUUUUUUGAUUCCAAUUCUGCCCUUUAAGCUAUAAAAUCUUUAUUUCUAAUUCCUCCUGAUAUUUCCUCUCUGUUAAUCUCAUUGCAUUAUCUUCUUCACUUUCCUCAGGUUGAACCAGAUGUUGGAGAUAAAAUUCCUCAUAGAAAAAAAUUCACGGUCUUUUUCACUCUCACUCUCUUGAGAUCUCAAACAAUUUUGAUCGGUUUCUUCCGCCAUGAUCUGCUGAAACACGUCGCCGUCGGCGAGAAUGGAAGGAAUCUAACGUCUCCGGCGACGAUGCCUUCGCCGCGAUCUGCAACAAGUACGACCGAUACGGCAUCGACAAGUAGAAGGACUCUAAUGUCUCCGGCGACGAUGCCUUCGCUCGCCUCUACUCUGCCGUCGAGUUCGACAUUGAAGCUGCUCUUCAGAAAGCGGAGCUUGCUUCAAAAAAGAAAAGUAGGGCAUUUGCAGUUGCUUUGAAUGCCGUGAUUCGCCGGACCAAGGCUCGAUUGCUUAAAGAGGUUCCCAAGUUGCAGAGAUUGGCUGUAAAGAAGAUUCAUAGAAGAAAGGUACGGGCAUGGCAAAUGAUAUGUAUUUUGUCACAUUUCGUCUGUCAAGAUAUAGUUUCAGAAGUUGCACGUUGCUUGCACACAUCCCUCUCUGUAAGUAAAGUUUGUAUCAUGCCAUAUCACCUUGGUUGUCUCCUAUAAUUAAUGACUGCAAUACAAUCUAUUGUCCUUAAGAUUUUGAAUCUACCAUUAAGAUCACUUUUCAAGAAUUGCUGAGAAAUGUCAUUCUUGUUUUGCUUUCUGGAUAUUCUUUGAGAUUUUAAGUCUACCAUCCCUGAUUCUUAAUUUUUGUCUCUCUUUUGGUCAUUCAUGCUCAGUCUAAAGAUUGACAUUAAAAUGAAAUACCUAUCAAAACACUAAUUAUGAAAAUAAAAUAAGCAUGACAAUGGAUGAUAAUUGGGAGUCCCAAUCUUUGACCUUAGUCCUCUCUGAAAAAUGUUUUUGGUGAUGUAAACUAGGUUAUAGUCCGAUGUUUUUCUUUCCUGGGGCAAGUUGACCAUGUUUCUACAAUCCCUUGUUUUGGACUACUGUGUAAUUUGAAUAUGUAGUCUAACAGUUUUUAGGUAACUACACAUCGGUCUUGGACCAUUAUCCAAUGCGGUUUUCUAAAUUAGUCACAGAUGAGAAGGCUGUCCCCUUAACAGAUUCUAGAUUUCAAGAAACUGUGGAAUAUCACUUUUGUUGUAAACUAGUUGUCAAGGUUUAAUUAUUUGCUUGUUUAUUUAUUGCAGAGGAACAACUUACCUGCAGUUCGUCAAUAUUUGGAAACAUUUGCAAUUAAUAUAUACUUAAAAGUUUCCAUUACUGGUAAGAAUUUGCCUUUAGUGGUUUCAUGGU